GAUGAACGCUGGCGGCGUGCCUAAUACAUGCAAGUCGAGCGAAUGGAUUAAGAGCUUGCUCUUAUGAAGUUAGCGGCGGACGGGUGAGUAACACGUGGGUAACCUGCCCAUAAGACUGGGAUAACUCCGGGAAACCGGGGCUAAUACCGGAUAACAUUUUGAACCGCAUGGUUCGAAAUUGAAAGGCGGCUUCGGCUGUCACUUAUGGAUGGACCCGCGUCGCAUUAGCUAGUUGGUGAGGUAACGGCUCACCAAGGCAACGAUGCGUAGCCGACCUGAGAUGGUGAGCGGCCACACUGGGACUGAGACACGGCCCAGACUCCUACGGGAGGCAGCAGUAGGGAAUCUUCCGCAAUGGACGAAAGUCUGACGGAGCAACGCCGCGUGAGUGAUGAAGGCUUUCGGGUCGUAAAACUCUGUUGUUAGGGAAGAACAAGUGCUAGCUGAAUAAGCUGGCACCUUGACGGUACCUAACCAGAAAGCCACGGCUAACUACGUGCCAGCAGCCGCCGUAA
rnacentral:rRNA from 1 species